rnacentral:lncRNA from 1 species
UUACAAGUGAGAACGUAGUACCCAUUUGAAACUAAUCAUGUAUAGAUUUUUAUUUUUCCAUCCGAGUAUGGAAGACUUAAGAAAAUAGUGAGAAUCUUGUUUAUUUUUAAAGUCUCUAGAAUAAAUAUUAACCAAAUACAAACAUCUAAUUAAAAAUUAUUUUCUCUAUAAAAAAUUAUGUCGAGUUCCAACCCUCUAGUCUGUAUCUUUGACUCCAAUAGGU